CUCGAGUCCCCGACGAGCAUCAACCCCAUUUGGGGAACCCAAGACAGCCUCCCCAGCAGCUUGCCCUCGGUUUUGGGGACCCCUGAACAACCCAACCAAGAAGGGAAAACUAGGGCGCACUCUCGGCCGGGGUGGGAGAGGAAAGGGGCUGGGGCUUCACGGAGUUUGGAGUUUGAACCCACCCGCACCCCUUUGAGCUAGGAAGUUUGACCCUUCGACGAGCAGGUCGCCUGGGGUAUGCCCCUGUCUCCGUGCCUCUGUCUCAGCACCGAGCGUGGGAGAGAGAGCGCGCCCUCCGCACCUUCUCCCACUUUGGGGCAGACUUUCCCUUGCACUGUCAGAGGGACCCGAGGCUGAGUACGAGGCGAGGCGGCAGCUCAGGCUGGCUGCGCAGCGCUGAGUGGCACUGCCGCCGCUCCCCAGGGGCAGGGCCCACCCCACACCCGGCUGACUCUCGCUGCCCUUCCUCCUUCCCUAUCGGGCUCUGCGGUCUGGAGGCUGGAGAGCGGUGAGGACCAGGGACUGCCCUGACCAUCUCGGGCGGGUGCCGGCGUGGGUGGCCGGGCGCAGGCUGGGAAAGGGAGGGCGCAAGUAACUGGUGUGAGAGGCAGGGGUUCAGGGAUCCUUGCUCUUGAGCCACGAUUUCCGAUGAGCCCCUGCCGAGAGCAUGCCGCUCUGGACUCACUCCUCAAACAUAACUGCUCUGCUGGAACGAGAGACUUCACCACCCUGUGCCUCAGUUUCCUCAUCUGAAAUGGAGGGGCCUUCCCUGCGAGAAGUCAGAGCUGUGCCCGUGGGCAGGCUGGCUCCGCUGUUCUGCUCCAAGGAUUACAUGUCCUUCAAAAGUCCCUGCCCCUGUAAGUUUCCUCCCCGCAUCCUUCCACCACUUGGGGCCAGGCAAGGGCAGAGCUUGGAGUCGAGCUGCAGAGAACGGCUUGAGGUGUUUGGCCAAAGAACUG
rnacentral:sRNA from 1 species